rnacentral:tRNA from 2 species
GACCCUAUCGUCUAGUGGUUAGGACACCGCCCUUUCACGGCGGUAACCGGGGUUCGAAUCCCCGUAGGGUCGCCA